GACGGAGGGUGCAAGCGUUGUUCGGAUUCACUGGGCGUAAAGGGUGCGUAGGUGGUGAGGUAAGUCGGAUGUGAAAGCUCGGAGCUCAACUCCGAAAUGGCAUUGGAAACUACCUUGCUCGAGGGUUGGAGGGGGGACUGGAAUACUUGGUGUAGCAGUGAAAUGCGUAGAUAUCAAGUGGAACACCAGUGGCGAAGGCGAGUCCCUGGACAACUCCUGACACUGAGGCACGAAAGCUAGGGGAGCAAACAGG
rnacentral:rRNA from 1 species